GGCCUAAUGGCUCAACUGUUAGAGCACUGUACCAGCAUUGCAGAGGUCAGGGUUCAUAUCCCAUUCAGGCCU
rnacentral:tRNA from 1 species